ensembl:lncRNA
CAGUGUCUCACUCACUAUAAGGAGCCACCACCACCAUGUUCAUUUCAGGACAAUGAUUGUACUUGAGCUUUUGGCCUUUGGACAGACUUGGGUUUCAAUCUUCUCACCCUUGGGUUUUCUCCUCUGUGUGAUCUGUGUGCAGUGGAGCAGAUGUGGCCUCCAAGGGCCUGCAUUGGAGCCUCAAGCUGCUUGCUGGUGUGGGACCUACACGUCUGGAUACUCACAGACUCAGUUCCUUCUGUGUGAGACAGGGGAGAGCCAAGGCAAAGGCAUGAGGUGGAUGGGGCUGAACCGUCACCAUUAUGACUGGAGCACUUUUGAGUGACCGCCCACAUGGGCUUGUUGACUCCCCAAACCCAGACUGGACUUCGGAGGAACCAACCUGCGAGCACACUGGGGUCUGCAAACAGCACAUUCUGUUAGGGUGAAGAGGACGCAGAAGAGAGACCAACUAAUCUUUGCUAGUCUUUGACACACCAGCACCACCCACUUAAGGAACAGACAGAAGGCUCUCGUUUGCCCACCAACUAACUCAUGGUCUCCCCAGGGAAUAAUGAGAGGUGGAACAAGAGGCCAGGUGUGGUCAGGGGAACCCCUCUCACCACAGUGAACACACAGAGUGGGGAAAACAUGUCUCCUCUGAAUGCUCCCCCGUUUUUGUCAUAGUCAACCUGAGGCAGGAGGCAGGUGGGCCCCCCAGAGUAAAACAGUUGGAAAUUUAUUCUCUAUUGAUCAAAACUCCAAGACAAGAAUAGCAGGACAAUUAAGGGAUGAGGCUGGACCCUGCACAGACCCACAAAGUCAAGAGACCUCCUCAACCACACAGGUGCAGAAAAGGCACCUUGGAGGCCAAAGGGGAGUCAUGUCAAGGGAUGUUCUACUCAGACGCCUUUUCGGUAGGAUCCGUCUUGGCUAAGAGAUGCGUGUGCACACACGGGAGGAUCCGGAGAUAUAUUAAAUAUGGCCUGUGAACCAGGCAAAUCAGAAUGAUUGGCCAAAGGAGACUCGGAAGAAACAUCCCAUAAAAGUAAUUCAAACUGCCAUGAGGGCUCAACCUAGCAACUCAGGGACUCUCCUUCUGAGCCUGCCCGUGUGUCUCUCCAGAUGUACUGUAUUGUACUCUUUUUCCUCCUAAUAAAUACUUAAAUUGCUUCA